CAGGAGUUGACAUGAUCUGAUUCCUUAUAAUACUGCUUCACUCACUGUACUGGAUUCAAGCAUGAGGAGACAGAUCUUCAUCAUUCUGACUGUGUUACACUCUGUGUCAGGUCAGUCACAAAACAAAUAUGUUCAUCUGACCUGUUCAUUAAUCCAGGAGAAUAUCAUAUACUGACCUGCAACCAUAAUAUCACAUCCUACGACACUAUAUUGUGGUAUCAACAAUCCAUUGAAGACACUUCCCUGAAACUCAUUGCAUAUUUAUAUUACAAAAGAGCGGCUGUUGAAAGUGUUUUCAAGGGUCACUUUAACAUUUCUGGAGAUGGUGAGAAACACUCUGCUCUUCAUGUCUCCAAACUGAGAGCUGCUGAAGACAGUGCUGCGUUUUACUGUG